GACGUAGGGGGCAAGCGUUGUCCGGAAUUAUUGGGCGUAAAGCGCGUGCAGGCGGAUUGGUAUGUGCCGUGUGAAAGCUCUCAGCUUGCCUGGGAGAGGUCGCGGUAGACAGCCGAUCUGGAGGCUCGGAGAGGUCAGUGGAAUUCCCGGUGUAGUGGUGAAAUGCGUAGAUAUCGGGAAGAACACCCGUGGCGAAGGCGGCUCUCUGGGACGGUACUGACGCUGAGACGCGAAAGCGUGGGGAGCGAACAGG
rnacentral:rRNA from 1 species